rnacentral:rRNA from 1 species
AGUGAACGCUGGCGGUAUGCCUAACACAUGCAAGUCGAACGGCAGCACAGUAAGAGCUUGCUCUUACGGGUGUAGAGUGGCGGACGGUUGAGUAAUACAUGGGAAUAUACUUUUUCGUGGGGGAUAACGUAGGGAAACGUACGCGGAUAACGCAUACGUCCUACGUGUGAAAGCAGGCGAUGUUCUGACCUUGCGCUAGUGAAUGAGCCGAUGUCGGAUUAGCUAGAUGGCUGGGUAAAGGCCCACCAAGGCGACGAUCCGUAUCUGGUCUGAGAGGAACAUUCGCCACACUGGCAGUGAGACACGGCAGACACUCCUACACGGAGACGCAGUGGGGAAUAUUGGACGAUGCAGCAAUGCGGGAUAUUGGCAUAUCGGGUGAGUCCAGAAGGAGUUCGGGUUGUAAAGCGAUUUUGUCGGUAAAGAAAAGCAGCACGUUAACACGCCGUUGUUAUGACGGUACCGAAAGAAUAAGCACCGGCUAACUCCGUG